GUGGAUUAGAUACCCGGGUAGUCCAUGCCGUAAACGUUGGGCACUAGGUGUGGGGGACAUUCCACGUUUUCCGCGCCGUAGCUAACGCAUUAAGUGCCCCGCCUGGGGAGUACGGCCGCAAGGCUAAAACUCAAAGGAAUUGACGGGGGCCCGCACAAGCGGCGGAGCAUGCGGAUUAAUUCGAUGCAACGCGAAGAACCUUACCAAGGCUUGACAUACACCGGAUCGGCUCAGAGAUGGGUUUUCCUCCUUGUGGGGCUGGUGUACAGGUGGUGCAUGGCUGUCGUCAACU
rnacentral:rRNA from 1 species